GCUUAACUGCAAGUCGAGCCGGUAAGGCCCUUCGGGGUACACGAGCCGGCGAACGGGUGAGUAACACGUGGGUGAUCUGCCCUGCACUUCGGGAUAAGCCUGGGAAACUGGGUCUAAUACCGGAUAGGACCUUCUGCCGCAUGGUGGGGGGUGGAAAGGUUUACUGGUGCAGGAUGGGCCCGCGGCCUAUCAGCUUGUUGGUGGGGUAAUGGCCUACCAAGGCGACGACGGGUAGCCGACCUGAGAGGGUGACCGGCCACACUGGGACUGAGACACGGCCCAGACUCCUACGGGAGGCAGCAGUGGGGAAUAUUGCACAAUGGGCGAAAGCCUGAUGCAGCGACGCCGCGUGAGGGAUGACGGCCUUCGGGUUGUAAACCUCUUUCAGCGCCGACGAAGCGUAAGUGACGGUAGGCGCAGAAGAAGCACCGGCCAACUACGUGCCAGCAGCCGCGGUAAUACGUAGGGUGCGAGCGUUGUCCGGAAUUACUGGGCGUAAAGAGCUCGUAGGCGGUUUGUCGCGUCGUCUGUGAAAACUCGUAGCUCAACUACGGGCGUGCAGGCGAUACGGGCAGACUCGAGUACUGCAGGGGAGACUGGAAUUCCUGGUGUAGCGGUGAAAUGCGCAGAUAUCAGGAGGAACACCGGUGGCGAAGGCGGGUCUCUGGGCAGUAACUGACGCUGAGGAGCGAAAGCGUGGGUAGCGAACAGGAUUAGAUACCCUGGUAGUCCACGCCGUAAACGGUGGGCGCUAGGUG
rnacentral:rRNA from 1 species